UACAAGCGUAAAUUUGCUAUAGUUUCUCGGAAAUUCUAUCGAAAACGUCUAAAUCACAUAGAAAUCCACGUCUUUCAUCGUCUUGCACAGUUUGUCUUUCUUAUGCCGUAGACUGAACAUGCGUAAACUUGCUGCAGUUUCUCGGAAAUUCUAUUUUCGUUUUGAUAUAAUGACCUUCGACAUUUGCCUUUGUCACCCAGACGAUAACGGUGUACGUCAACUACCACUGAUAUUGUUAGAGUAGGUAAUAGAGGCUAUCGCUAUCACGAAUUGGUAUAUCAGAUGGUUGGAGAUGUUGUUGAUAUAGGGAUGCAUUCUGUUGGACCAUAUGAUCCAGAGAUAGUGUUGGACAUUUAUAUAAAUUAUGCCAAACUUUUUCAAAAUUUAUAUGAGGAAAUGAGUCAUGGGAUGGUUUACGAACACCAACAUGGUGGAUUUCGGUUUUAUCUUAAUUUAGUUGAGAGCUAUAUACGGAGCCAACAUUUAUACGUAAGGAAUAAAGAAUCGUGGACAACCUUGACGGAUCGAACGAUUAUUUUUGAUAUUUUGAGAGAAGGAUCCAUUUACUUGAACUUUACUUUUCAAAUUUUUAAACAGUAUUGUAACCCAAUUUACAAUGUCAUUUGGAAAAUUCAUAUGUUUUAGUAGGGUUUUUAUAUAAUUGUGUUCAAUACGGUCAAAGGCUUUUUUCCUAAUCAAACGAUAAGAUAUAGGCAUUAGUUUCAUGUGUGUCUAAAUAAUUUAGGAUUGAAUCAAUUAAAUACAGGUUAUCGAAGGUGCUUUUAUUUGGUCCGGCUCCCGUUUGUGUUUUAGAGAUCAAUUUGUUAAUAACUGUGUUCAUUCAUAUACUUAAUAUUUUUGUGAUGAUUUUAUAGUCGACACAUAACAGGCUUAUUGGUCUAUAGUUCUUAAGUAAUCGGUGGUCGCCUCUAUUCUUAUAGACAAACAAUUUAUUCUUAUAAUUAAUUAUUAUUAUACCGGUUCUCAUUGGGUUAGAUAAUUCACCCUGUUGAUAGAUGUUGUUUAUUACUUCUGUCAGGUCGGUUCCUAUGGUGUCAAAGAAUUUGAUAUAGAAAUCUCCUGGAAUACCGUCGAUGCCUGGGCUACGGUUUGAUCUGAAACUUUGUAAGGCCUUAAGAUCUUCAUCUUUAGAUAUGAAAUGAGACAGGGAAUCUCUUUCCGUGUUAGUUAGAGUAUUUAUGUUACUGUUUUCAAUAUAGGAGUUUAUUAGGUUUUCGUCAAUGUAUAUAGUUGUUGGUAAUAUUGGUGAAUUGUGUCUAGAAUAUCUUGUUCAUUAUCAAAUACUGUAUUAUUUUGAUUGAUUAAUUGUUUAAUUUGCUUUUUAGCACCGUUUUUGACCUCAGCUAAUUUAUAUAUUUUAGAAUAUCGUAACCUUGUAUUGUAUUUUGUUCUAUUAUUUCGAUUUUUGUUUGAAUUUCAUGCAUUGAGUUAGUAUUCAUAGGUAGUAUGGAAGUAGAUCAACUUAUAGUGUGAUAUAUAUUGAGACUAUAUUUAUGUUAUAUAUAUGAAUGCAUAUCUAGCACUAUGCAUAUCUAGCGGUGUAUUAUGAAUGUAUGUUAUAUUAAAGGACGACGGAUAUUGUUAGUGUUGGUGACACGGGCUACUCCUAGAUCUAUCUUUAUAAUAGUAUUAACAUGUCACGUUUAGAUUAUAUUUAGAGAGAAAGAUAGAUAGAUAUGGGGUUAAGUGGAGGGAAACCGCAGUUCAGGACCCGGAAAAACCCACGAGAUUCGUUGACACGUAUAUGCGGGGAACCUACUCCAUGCAGAUUGACUCUAUGUAUAUGAUAGACCAGGAAAAAACCCACGAGGGUGGACAGGCUACCCUAUUCUGUGUCACGUACAUGCGGGGAACCGAGUCCACGCCAAUUGACUCUAUGAUAGACGUUACUCACUGAGCCAUCGCGACUCCCUUGAUAAUAUAAUACUUGACAUAAUACCAAGGUUAAUUUACGUCCGCUUCCAUUGAGUUGAUACCGUAGACAAUAAAUCAAUGUCUAAGUAUUCUGAUAAUAACAUAUUGAUGUCAGGGAAUUAAGUUCGAUUCUCGAGAAGAACCUUGAGGUUUGUCAAGCCUGAGUUUCACCUGUCAGGGGUAUAACGUCCAUUGGGCUGACUAGUCCUUCGGAUGGUUCCUACGUGUAUACAUUGGCGUGCACGUAAAAUACAUUCGAUGAAACGCCGCUGUCAGGGCAAAAUUCUUCUCAUUAGCAUAACAUCCCUUAAUAACAGAAUAAAAAGCCGGUAGUAUUGUGUUGUGUUAACGAAAUGUUAAAUUACAUUCCUAUUUUAUUUUGUGGUUAUAUGACUAAAACGUCAGUUAUAUCAAGAUAAGCCAGAAUAUUUUAAAGAUACUUCACCGUAUACAAACCGUUCGAUCAAGAAAUAACAACCUCUCCCUCAGUUAAACUAGCAUACAAUAAGCCGUCGUGUUGGCUCCCUCAGUUAAACUAGCAUACAAUGAGCCGUCGGGUUGGCAGUUAGUGAUACCCUGGCAUUUUUGUACAGUUCCUGUUUUUCGCGUAAUCCAGUAUUUUUCUAGUAAGAUUGGGCGUCUAAGCUUUUCAUAUAUAUCAUGUCAUACUUUUACUGGGAAUAACCACCUGAUAAAUAUAUUUGUGACAAUGUAUCUUUAAUAUCCAUGUGGUUGAAGCGGAUAUUUAGUUGAGAGAUUAAUUCUCCAAAUAUUGCGGGAGGUUGCGUGACCGAAAGGUUAACGCAUGCGCGUUGGAUCAUAAGGUCUGCAAUGAGUCAAGUGGUGUGGUUUCGAUUCCCCGCUUGUACGGGACAAGAAGUAGGGCCCAUCCUCUUAAUUUUGCUCCCACUUCUAAAGACCCAUACGCAUAAGCGAAUCAUUUACAUAAAAUUGAAAAAUAUGUUAAUAACGAAACUCUCUCUCUCUCUCUCUCUCUUUCUCUCUCUCUUAUUAAGGUGAAUAAUUUCUGUACAUGUUAACUAUUACCUACAUCCUAUAUUAUUUAUAUUAUAUGAACUAUUAUAGAUGGCCAAUUACUACUAAACCAAGCAUAUCAUAGUAUGAUGUACUAUUAAUAUUAUAUGAACUAUAAUAGAUGGCCAAUUAAUACUAAACCCAGCAUAUCAUUGGUUUAUAGUGGAGAAUAAUUAACAUCAAAGUUUACUGUAUUACAAGAUAUGAUGGGAAUUAUUAAUGUCUAUAAUCAGUAUAUUUCAAGUGAAAUGAAAUGAAAUGGAUUUUAACGUCCUACUGUUCAGCUCAGACUGGGCUAAUGCAGUGUGCUAUGAGAUAAAUUUUGUUCGGACAGAGGCUCUACGGCCUACUCUUAUUUCCAAUUCCAACUCUCAAGGGUUCUUUUAUGUGCAUGCCAAUAUGUACAAUGGACCUCACCUUGGUGUUUCAUCCCAUCCAAAGGACUAUACGUUGUCCUACAUCACUGACAGGUUAGCGAGUUAACGUCUUACUCACUGAGCCACCGUGGCUCCCAUGUGGAAUGAAUCAGAAUUGUAACAAAGGUUAACCUAAGCUAUAUUGUACAAGUGAUGUAAUUAUUUAUAAUGGGUAUAACGAACAUCUAUUCAAGUGAAAUGAAUCAACAUUAAAACACCUGCUAUCAUUAGACGAGUAAUAUAGUAUUUUAUGACUAAACGAAGUGUCAUAACAUAUAAUUGAUUGAUCAAUAGUAGAGGUCUAAUA